ensembl:rRNA 5S_rRNA 5S ribosomal RNA
GCUUACAGCCAUAAGACACUGAGCACGCCCGAUCUCGUACGAUCUCGGAAGCUAAGCAGUGCUGGGCCUGGUUAGUACUUGGAUGGGAGACCAACUGGGAAUACCAGGUGGUGUAAACU